rnacentral:ncRNA from 1 species
GAAUGGCAUAACGGUCUGAAAACUGUCUCUGGGAAAGGCUCGGUGAAAUUACAAUGCCGGUAAAGAUGCCGGUUACCCGCAGCAAGACGGAAAGACCCCAUGAAGCUUUACUAUAGCUUGAUAUUGAAUUAAAUUUUUAAUUGUAUAGAGUAGGUGGGAGCCUUCGGGCAGAAGUGUAACACCACCCUGUUGGAAAUUUGAUUCUAACCCUCCCUAAAGGGAAGGGACAGUGUCAGGUGGGUAGUUUAACUGGGGCGGUUUUCUCCCAAAUUGUAACGGAGAAGUUCAAAGGUUGGCUAGUCCCGUAUGGAAAUCGGGAUGGUAGUGUAAACGCAUAAGCCAGCUUGACUGCAAGAGGGACACCUCGCGCAGAUGCGAAAGCAGGAGUUAGUGAUCCUCUGGCACAGUACGAAGCGGCUCAUCCUAUCCUGGGGCGGAAGUACGUCCCAAGGGUUUGGCUGUUCGCCAAUUAAAAGGGUACGCGAGCUGGGUUCAGAACGUCGUAAGACAGUUAAAUAGAACAAGCUGUCUAUAAAUUCUUCUAUAUGCUGGGAACCCUGUAGUCCUAAUAGGACUUGUAGAAUCUAGCGGUACGUUUUAUACUAAGGGUAUGAAUCGUAAAAAAUCGACUAGUGCAGACAACCAGCAGGAAAGAUCAAGGCAGUAUCUUUGCGGGUACGUCGUUGGUUUAGUUGACGGUGAAGGAAGUUUCCAUAUAGCAUUUCCAAAAAGAGAUGAUUUAAGUGCGAGUAUUUCAGUGAUGCCAGAAUUUCACCUCUCACAACAUCGUGAGAGCAAACAAGUUUUAGAACUUGCUCAAAAACUUUUUGGUUGUGGUUAUAUAAAAGAAAAUCAUCCCAAGUCUGAAGACAAAACAUUAGUUUAUGUCGUCAGAAAUAGGGAAGACUUACUUUUAAGAGUUAUUCCGUUUUUUGAAACUUAUUCACUUAAAACUAAGAAGCAAAAAGAUUUUAAAAUUUUUGCUCAAAUUGUCAGAUUAGUUCAUCAAGGUCAGCAUCAAAAUCUUGAAGGUUUAUUAAAGAUUGUUGGUCUGGCUUAUACAAUGAAUCAAUCUGGUCAACGACGUAUUCGCAAAAAGGAAGACUUAAUUACUACUUUGAAAUCCUCAGAGACUAUACGAAGAAACCACUUGAAAAAAGUGGCUAAGAUAUAGUCCGAGCUGAAUAGCGAUAUUCAGACCCUGCAGAAAUGGCAGGGCGCCAUAGAUAUAAUUCAGUUAUUGACGUGGUCCAAAAGUAACAGACUGUCGGUCCUAAUCUGCUGUGGGCGUUUGAAGUUUGAGGGAGGCUACUCCUAGUAAAUUUUUGCUACUUCACGGAGUAAUCUGUGAUGACAAUUCGGCUAAUAACGGUGGAAUCUUGAAUUUUUUUGGUUUGUUGAUAGCCAUUAUUUCAUUGGUCUGAAAAUAAUGGUACAAUUUACUUGAGGACCAAAAAUGGUUCAAGACAAUACCGUGGGAAGUCGGGGUGUAAAUCUUACACCCUUGACCCCGUAACGACUGAGUCCGAUAUUAUAUUGGACAAGAUAUCAAUUUCGCAAGUAAUUGAAUUACAUUGAUAUAAUACGCCGACCCCCGCUUGGCGGGGUGAAGAUAUAGUCUGAGCACGUAGUGAUACGUGGUAAAUUGACGAGAGGACCGGAGUGGACGAACCUCUGGUGUACCAGUUGUUCUACCAAGGGCAUUGCUGGGUAGCUACGUUCGGUUGGGAUAACCGCUGAAAGCAUAUAAGCGGGAAGCCCAUCCUAAGAUUAGACUUCGUUUGAGAUCCCCGGUAGACUACCGGGUUGAUAGGCUCUAGGUGUAAGUUUCGUAAGGAAUUUAGCCAAGGAGUACUAAUAGAUCGAGAAAAACUUUUUA